UACUAUGGAGAGUUUGAUCCUGGCUCAGGAUGAACGCUAGCGGCAGGCCUAAUACAUGCAAGCCGAACGGCAAGUUUUGUAGCAAUACAAGACCUAGAGUGGCGUAAGGGUGCGUAACACGUAUGCAAUCUGCCCUGUACAGGAGGAUAGCUCGGGGAAACUCGAAUUAACACUCCAUAAUAUCACGAGGAGGCAUCUUUUUGUGAUUAAAACUGAGGUGGUACAGGAUGAGCAUGCGCAUGAUUAGCUAGUUGGCGGGGUAACGGCCCACCAAGGCGAUGAUCAUUAGGGGAACUGAGAGGUUGAUCCCCCACACUGGCACUGAGAUACGGGCCAGACUCCUACGGGAGGCAGCAGUAGGGAAUAUUGGUCAAUGGAUGGAAGUCUGAACCAGCCAUGCCGCGUGCAGGAAGAAGGCCUUCUGGGUUGUAAACUGCUUUUGCCAGGGGCUAAAAAGCCCAUGCGUGGGAAAUUGAAAGUACCUGGUGAAUAAGCCACGGCUAACUACGUGCCAGCAGCCGCGGUAAUACGUAGGUGGCGAGCGUUGUCCGGAUUUAUUGGGUUUAAAGGGUGCGUAGGCGGCUUUGUAAGUCAGUGGUGAAAUAUGGCAGCUUAACUGUCAGGGUGCCAUUGAUACUGCGAGGCUUGAGUACAGAUGAGGUAGGCGGAAUUGACGGUGUAGCGGUGAAAUGCUUAGAUAUCGUCAAGAACACC
rnacentral:rRNA from 1 species